rnacentral:rRNA from 1 species
GAUGAACGCUGGCGGCGUGCUUAACACAUGCCAGUCGAGCGGAAGGGCCCUGCUUUUGUUGGUUGCUCGAGUGGCGAACGGGGGUGUAAAACGUGAGUAACCUGCCCCUGACUUUGGGAUAACUUCACGGAACUGGGGCUAAUACCGGAUAGGAUCUUCUGCUGCGUGUGGUUGGAUGGAAAGAGUCGGUGGUUGGGGAUGGACUCGCGGGUUACCAGCUGGAUGGGGGAGUAGUGGCAUACAAGGGCUAUGAGGGGUAGGCCGCCUGGGAGGGUGACCGGCCACCUUGGGACUGCGAUAGGGACCAGACGCGUACGGGAGGCAGCGGUGGGGAAUAUUGCAGAAUGGGCGGACGCGUGAUGCAGCAAUGCCGCGUGCGGGAUGCCGGGCUUCGGGUUGUAAACCGCUUUCGCAGGUGACGAAGCGUGAGUGACGGUAAUGGGUCAAGAAGCAACGGCUAACUACGUG